UCAGGCUGGAGUGCAGUGGUGCGAUCUCGGCUCACUGCAACCUUUGCUGUCCGGGUUCAAGCAAUUCUCCUGCCUCGGCCUCCUGAGUAGCUGGGAUUACAGGUGCCUGCCUCCGUGCCCAGGGGAAGCUGGCCACAUUGUAAGAAGUCGGACUAUGCUGAGACUGUCAUGAUGACAGAAAACCCAAGCUAGCCAGGUGGAGAGAUCACACAGAAAGAGAUGCCUGGCCAGCUGUUACCUGAUAUGCCAUCAUGUAAGUAAAAAGUCCACCUUGGAUGGUCCAGCUCAUAGAUGCCAUGUACAGCAGAGGUGAGCCAUUCCUGCCAAGCCCUGCCCAAUUGCAGAAUUGUGAGUAAAUAAAUAAUUACUAUUGUUUUAAGCCACUAUAUUUUGGGAUGAGUUGUUACAUAGCCAUUGAAAACCAAAACACCUCUCUCCACCAAGUCAUUUCCAUCACUUCCUUCAAGACGGAGGCCAAGUCACCUACAUUGGAAACGUACCUGACAAGCUCAAUACAGCUCAUCUUAUUUUAGAAUUUGGUAGUUUGGAUUAUGCAGUUCUAUGCCUGCUUUUGGUCAGUUUCAUACAUUUACCUAUCCCUAAAAUUAAUAAUGACAAUGGCCAAUGCUGAGCAUCAUGGAUCAGGCACUGUGGCUGGGAAUAAUGUUAUUCCUAUUUUACAGAUGAGGAAACUGCGGCACUGAGCGGUUAAGCACCCUAUCCAAAGGUGGUUCUGUAUAAGUACCCUUCCCAAUGUCCUUGUCCCUCUAUUGCUUUGGUGAUAUGCACUUUGAACUUGAAGUGCUAAAAAGGAAGCUGAUGUGGAGACAACAGAAUGGCAUCUGUUUUGCAGGCAAGAAGAUAAAGGAAGGACAGAGGUUAAACUAAGAGAUGCAGAAAUUAUAGUAUAUCAGCCAGGUGUGGUGGCUCAUGCCUGUAAACCCAGCCCUUUGGGAAGCCGAUGCGGGCGGAUCACGAGAUAUUAAUCCAAGGAACAAUACUGACGAAUUUCACGGACAAAAUACUAAGAAGGAAAUCAAGUGAAUCAAGCGGAGAAGAAAGACAGUGGAAAAAGAAAACUGAAAAUAAAAAUAUUUUCUAGACCCCUUGAAAUAAAGUUUGAAAAACCACAGUGCUUUGCAAAAUAUCACAUUCAAUUGCUAGCUAAAAAAAAAAUUCAUUGGAAGUGCCAUUGGGACAGCAGAGGAUGAGGAGGUCUGGUAAGGUCUCUGGCUGGUCUUGUAAACCAUACCCCAGGGUUGGGGCCAGGGUUUUUAGGCUCAGGCCUCUCUGAUAUGGUAGGAAGGUAUGAAGAGAAUCUUUUCAUCUAUUUUUUAACCAUUAAUCUUUCUCAAUGCAGCAGGAGACCAUGGGGGUCCUGGGUCUGGGGGUCUGCUUUUCUUCCGAAGCUCAGCCAGGCUCAGUAUCAAGGAGCUGACAUCAAGACACUAAUUGUGAGGGAAAGGAGAGAACAUCUUUAGAUAAGCCUACCUGCCCUGUGAUUGCCUGUGAUGGGGUUCAGGACACACUGGCCCCAAAUAUGGCACCUUGGCAUGGGAGAAAAUGGCAGAAGCAGGAAGGUCUCUCUCACCUUCCCCUCGCCCUUCUCCCUUGAAUGUUGAUGAAGAUAUGAAAUAAGGUUUGCCAAAUUACCUGCUGUAUUUAUGACCUCCCUUGAAGCAGGUCAUAAAGCCAUCAUUCCAGAGAUGCCCUCCCCAUACCCAGACCAAAGAAGGCUCCUUAUUUCUGAAGACACAGGGACACAAAGAGGAAUCUGAACAAACAGGCCUUACUAAGUUUUCCCCAGUUAAUUCCUAUUGGACAUGCCCUUUUUCCAUUCAUACUUCUCCACAAGCAUUCACUUCUUCAAUGACUUACACAAAAAAUAUACACAGGUUUAGUCCUUUCUUUGGGUCUUCAUUCCUGAAGGCUGCUGUGCCACAGAAAAUGUUAAUGCUUUUCUCUUGUUAAUCUGUCUUUUGUUAUAAAUGCCUCAGCCAUUAAUCCAAGAUGGAAAAGAAAAAUAUUCCUUUUUCCUGCUCCUAAGAGCCACCUAAUGUGUUGCAGACCAAACCCACAGCAAUCCUGUUAUCUGGGAGUUCAUCUGUGAUCUUGAUUAGAACUAACAUAGGAAAUAGAUAGAUGUGAGUUGCUUCCAGAAUAAGAUUAGAAUAUGAAAUCACAUUUAAAAUUUAAAAGCAACAUGUUAGCAACGACUCUAACCACAGUUCUCCCUUCUUUUUCAAAACCAGGGGUCUGGUCCAGAUCUUGUAUUGCCUGAAGAAGGUCCUAGGUACUACCUUUCCUGAAAGAAAGACAUGGUACUAAAGCUCCUCCAACCCACCUUUGCUCUUCUCUUACCUCAUAAAAUAGCGAGCAUCAAAUUAUUUGAGGAAAAGCAUUUAAGAAUUUUUUUUUUAGGGACAAGUUCUUGCUCUAUCGCCCAGAUUGGAGUGCAGUGGUGUGAUCUCAGCUCACUGCAGCCUCAAACUCCUGGGCUCACGCAAUCCUGCCACCUCAGCCUCUUGAAUAGCUGGGACUGCAGGCAUGCACCACCAUGAUUGGCCAAUGUUUAAAUUUUUUUGUAGAGACAAAGUCUCCCUAUGUUUCCCAGGCUGGUUUCAAGCUCCUGGGCUCAAGUGAUCCUCCCACUUCAGCCUCCCAAAGUGCUAGGAUUACAGGCAUGAGCCACCAUGCCUGGCUGGGUAUAAGAAUGUCAAUAUGCUUAGGUUUAGAUACAGUUUAGUGUUUUUCAAAUGACAGAUUGCAAUCCCUUAAAGGUUAAUAAAAUCAAUUUGGUAGGUUGCAAACAGCACUUUAAAAACAAAACAAAUAAACAAACAAACACACUAGUAUCUGAUGGUAGAUCUUGUCUUGUCUAAAGCCCUGCAGCGUGAGGCAUAUCCAGAAAAGGUCAACCCUGAGUCCCAUCUGGAGGGGCAUCCUCUCUAGGUCACCAUUUGUCACAGUCAGUUUUAGGGCUUGAGGAAAUUUAAUUUCCAUUUCAGAAACUCACUAAUCUAGUUGUGACCAAACUUUUUCCUACCAAUCUAACCAAGUUUGCUUAUAAACAAUCACACUGAGACCACAGCCUUCUUCCCCAACGUAGGUGCAGAUGAAAUAAAGAAGUUUAGAGCAGUUUUUUCUAACGUGGGCUCUGUAAUAAAAACCUGCUACAGUCAAAUAUUUGAGAAACCCUCCGUACUGUUAUCUUCUCUUAUAGAUUCCUAGCCUAUAAAAGAAGAGACCCAUUUAACUUUGUUUAACCCGUUAUGUCCUAAACUUUUUUGAUUGUGGAGUAACCUCUCUUAACAAUUCCACUACCCUAGCCUGAGCCCUUAGCCUGAUAGCUACUCCCUUUUGGGCUGACUGCAGCUGCCUGCCUCUUAGCUUUGUGACUACUGUCACACAACAUACGGUCUUUACUCAGCAGCCCAUACUAGGUCCUCACCAAUUUCUUGAUGGAGUACGAAGUAAGGUUUGCCAUAUUACCUACUCUACAAUUUGGGGACUUUAACCAUUGUAAGCCCAAUCAUCACUCUCACUUCUUAGCUUUUAUUUAAAGAGUAAGUUUGUAUUCUAAAUUGAUUUCUACAACUGCUGUUUAUGGAAUUAAGAUGAAUCCAGUGGUGGUCAGCUGAUCACUGUGGGUGAAGUCUGUUGGUUGCUUUUUACAGUAUUUUAUGUUCCUUCUUCUCUUGCUUCCUGUGUGCUGUGCUGUGAAGCAUGACAGAGCACCUGCCUGUGUGUGCACAGCACCGUGAACUCAAUCUUUCAGUCACUUUCUUUUCUUUUCAUGUUUAAAUAAGAGAUAAGCCACGUUGGCCAGGGCAUGUGGACUCUCCAUGGAGUUCACUAACAAACCGAAUUUAUGUAUCGUUGCAAAAUAGUCAACACUCCAGUCUGUUAGAAACAGGUGCCAAGAGAGGAAAUGUUUAAUAUUUUCCACGUGGCAUGGGCUCUGUCAGACAGUGUUUCCAACCAGAGUCUGUUUUCGCAGUUAAAUCAUAGGUUCAGAGUCUUCCUUUUGCCUCAAGAGUCUGUCUGGUGGCUGGCUCGCAGCUAGCUUCUGCACAAUCCCCUCACUCUGACCCUGCAUCUUCAAUGCCGCCAUUCUGCCAAACCGCUGCUACUUCUGGUAAGAGCCAGGGUGACAUACCUACCUGCCCAGAGCCACCCUUGACAGGAGACUCAGGGAGAAGUGCCCCCAGGACCAAAGCACCUGCCCAGCCCACUGGAAGAAGGAAGCUUACAAUUCUGUAUGCUUGGAACCCACCAAAGCCUGAGGCCUCACUGGCACCCAGCCAUCCACAGGAGUUAGCAGCUGUUUGAGUCCAGAAGGAAGAACUUUUGGAGUCGGAGACAAAUAAUGUUCACCACUCCACUUCCUUGUUCCUUCACACCUGCUACUUUGGAUUCAGACGAGAAGUUCCAAGAAUCCCUGAGUCCACAGCAUGACUCUGGUUUGCAGAACCUCUGUCCAGACCAGCCAGAUCAGAAUACAAAGGAAAGUGACACAUCCUGGAUCUCAACCCACUUCGAUGGGAAGUCUUCCUGAUAAAUUUAGAGAUAACCUAAAGCCCUUGGGGACUUCCUCUUGAUUUGAAUCUGCUGAACACCUGCCGCACCCCCACCGCACCCCCCCCCCCCGCCCCCCGCCACCGCAGAUGAAAACAUCAACUCUGCAGAAUUAAUGGAUAUGGGAAUCACCUGGGGACCUCUCAUUAAAUUGCAAAUUAUGAUUCAGAGGGUCUGGGGAGGGACAGAGACUCUGCAUUUCUAACAAGCUCUCCGGUGGUGCCCACGCAUCACCGGGGCCGGAGAACCUUCCAUCAUUCCAGCAAUGCUCACCAUCACUGCCAUUCUUGCUCUUCUUUCUGGGGCCGUUGCCCAUUUUCUCCAUGGUAUCCUUCUUUUUUCCUAUUCUUUUCCUCUUUUAAUCCUUUUUUUCUUCCCAGCCAACUCACUAUUCCUAUAUCCCUGCUAACCCUCAAUGCUCCUUCACUCAAAGAUGAAGAAACUCCUGCCCUUUCUUCCUCCAGACAUUCAUCUCCCUCCCUCCCUCCUCUCCUCAGCUUUGUAGUGCCAGGAAAAGAAAGAUCACCAUUUACUGACAAUUUUGUGUGAAGCACUGUCCCAAGUGCAUUACCCAUAUUACUUAACUCUCACAACAACCCUGCAAAGUACACAUUAUUUCUGCCAUUUUAGACAUGAGAAAAUUGGGACUUGGGGUGGUUAAAGAAAUCUUGUCCUCAACCAGGAAGUAGUGAUCUGAGAUUAGAAUUUAGAUCUGUCUGAGGCCAAAGUCUACAACUUCUAUACUGCACCAUGCUCAUAUAAGGUGAACAAUCUAGAAGGCAGCUGGUAGGAGUGGCUUCAGUAAAAAGGAAUGGAAUACCACGAGCUUCACCCCAUUUAUGCAUCCUGAACCCUUCACUCCACUUUUGUUAAGUACAUGCCCUAUGAGACGGUUUGACAUACCAAUAAUGAGAGCUGUUUCAAGAAUGCCCAGAUUAGCUAGGAUGGUUGGGACCUAAAUAGCACAGUAGUAAUAUUAAAGCCCAAAGUUGCCAAUAUGCUCAAUUUUCAAUGUAACCUUUUAUUAUAAAUUAAGACCCAUAACUGUACACACAGAGUCUGUUACCAAAAAAGAAAUUCCUUCCAUUGGCCAAUUAUUC
rnacentral:lncRNA from 10 species